rnacentral:lncRNA from 1 species
CAAAUACCUUAUGUCCAAAGAACUGUGCUGCACCCAAAUAGUCAUCUAACCGUAUUUCAGUCUCGGGAUGAGCCUCAAUGCUAAAUUUUUUAGUCCAAGACACCUCUCCAGAAACAUUAUCUAACGUCCAUAGGUUUAUUUCAAUUCCAGACUGAAAGACCAUAGCGACAGAACCUUGGAAAUCCAAAACAUCUGACUCCAUCUGUGUAGAGCUAGGGAUAGGAACUAGUCCAAAAAUCUCAUUGUGCAAAUCAAAUGAGACUAAGUGUUCCCUACGAUAUUUAAAAUACAGUACCCCGUCUACAACAACAUUAGCUGAGCCAAAGUGCUUAACACCCUUCAUAAUAGGAGCCUUAAAUUCAUUAGUCCAGGAAUCAGCAUUCGACGAAUAAACCUGAACUAAUGGUUCGACAUCAAACAUUUUCUCAGACACAAUCCUAAAGACCUUGUAGUCAUCGGAGAUAGGAUCAUAACCAAACCCUACUUUAACCGGCACAGUAUCACAAGUGUGGGGCUCGGGAGCAGGGAGUUUCUUAAACUUCCCGAUUGACGGAUUCCAAAGAUAGACAAAAUUACCGAACAAAUUAGCUAAACAGAGGAUGCCAUCACAAACACUUUUAAUACUAUAAUGUGUAGAGAAAAGACGUGGCAUAACAAGACGAUUAAAUUGUACCGGACAGCUGGACAAGUCUUGGGCUGCGGCAUCAAGAAGCGCCUCAUCAACAAGUUCACGUCGACGUUGCUGUUGUGGACUAAUAGUGGAAUUGGAAAACAAUGUGCCGAAACGCCUCUCCGUCUCGGCCUCGAAGGCCAAUUUUCUUGCCAAUUCCUCCUCGGUGAGCGGGGGUCUGUGUAUACAGAGCAGUGUGGGUGUGUUCAUUGAGGCCGUGAUGGCGCGAUGGAGUUGAGAUUUCACGAAAUGAGGGGUUGAGAUGAGUGAUAGCCAUGGCUUGCAGACGGACUUGCAUUGGAGAAGUGAUUUGACAGGGAGUCGAACAAGUAUUUCGGAGAUCAAUCCUUCAGGUAAAUAGUUGAUGGACUUUUUUGCCAUUGUGGUUUUGGAAGAGGAAAUGGUGAAUAAGUUGUGAAGAAAGGGAAAGCUCAAUGUUGCACUGUAGUUUACAUUGAUCUGGGAUGAAAUACUUUUAAGAGCAUAUCCAAGAGGCUCCUAACUUCUUAUUUGAGAAUGGAGAGGAAAAAUGUUGCUCGCUCUUAAAUUACUAAGAGGCUCUUGUUUCUCUCUCCUCUCUCCUCAAAGUUAAGAGCCACCAUAUGGCUCCUAAUUUAUUUUUUACAAUAAAAAAAUUCUUAUCUCCAAUUCACCUCCAUUUUUCCUUCUCUUUUGUUACAGUGGAGCCCAAUAUCUAUACUAUCUAUCUAUACUAUACUAUAAAAAGCCAACAUGGGUAUAAUUUGUAGUCGUACAAAAUUUUGGUUUGGUACUCUCUUGGUUUAAUACUCUCCUCUAAAACUAAAAGUCUACAAAUCUAGAUAUCUAUUAAAUAGUUUCAUACACUAAAAACACUCCUUAUGUAUAUUAAUAUAUCUUUUUAAAUAUAAUUUAUAAUUAGUUGGAAAAAGUGAAACUACUAUUAAUAACAAAUAUUAAUAUUAAAAAAUACUAAUUGAUAAAUGUAUAACUAAUUAUAAAUAUAUAAUUUUGAAUAUCUUUUGUCUAAAAUACAUAUAAAUAAUUAGAGACGCUACUUUUUAAUUAUAACGUAUUCUCCUCGAAAUUUAACUUCAACGUGUUCUAUUUCAUUACAAACACGAACCAUUACGUAACAUACGAAUAUAUAUGAAAUAUGAAAAUUUUGAUUUAAAAAUUAAUUGAAUAAUAAACUGUCACAUAUUAAUAUCAUAAAAAUAUGUAUAGAUAGAUAAUAAAUUGUGAAAACUAAAUUUCAGUUAGUAGAUAUAAUCAGUUGGUUGAUAUAAUUUAACUAAAAUGCAAUUCAUUAAUACUAAAAUACUAAUAAAAUGGUGUUAAGAUAAUUAAUAAAUUACGAAUUAUAUAACCGCCCGUGCUUUGCACGGGUUAAAGGCUAGUAUGAAUAAAAUAUGAAAUAGAGAAGAGAUGCAGAAAGUAUUGUUGGAAUUUACACUCUUAACUUUGUCCUAAAUUACUAAAAAUCAUAUUUUUUAUAUUAUAUUUAAAAGUCAACAAGAAGACUCUUGGAGAAGCUCCAAGGCCCAGUCAAAUCACAUUAAAAUGUGUGUAAAGCGUCGUAUAAAAAAAAUUGCUAUGAUGGUAUUAAUGGUCUGAAAUAAGUACUCCUAGGUGUAAUGAUCUCCAAACCUCGAAUAGAUACUAGUAGUAGAUGCAUAGCCUCUGCUGCAAGAUGCGACGAAGCAAAAGAUUGUUAAAAUCACGUUAGGGGUAAUUGCACGAUCUUUUGGGCAAACUUAAAAGAAGAGUCUCUUUAUUUUAAAAAUGGAGAUGAGAAGUAAAUAAAUGAAUAAAAUAUUUAGAAAAUAAGUAAAAAUUGUGAGAGAGAAGUUGGAUUCUCAGCUUCUUAAAAAUAGUUCUACUUUUUUAAAUAAAUGGAUUAAGAAAAACAGAAGCUGCUUCGUGCAAACAUACACGCCCUAUACUCUUCAUUAAAUGUUUAGUGCAAAUUUUACUCCACUGCUUUGCAUUCUUUUCACUUCUCAACCAACCAACAAUUUUGUCUACUGCACUGGUGGAUUAAGGUUCUCUCUGGAUUAGUGUUGAAAAUAGCUCUGAUGUCAUAAAAAAUGUUAGAAUUUUUUUUUAUAUAUAAAUCAUAAAGUUGUUUAAUAAUUUUUUUUUGAUAUUUAUAUAUUUUGGUUUAUAAUACCAAAAAAAAAAAUUUAUAAGUUUUGAUAGUGAAAUAUACGAUAAUUUUCCGCCAAAGCUGGUUUUUUGCAAAAGAAUGAGAAGAUCUAUGUUUUCUAAAAUCAGUUUUUAAACUAAAAUUGCUAUUAUUUUUUUAGCACCAAUGGAUAGCCCAAUUGAUGGGUUUAUCAUAAACUAAUUUUUAAAACAUAUAAGUCUGUAUUGUAAAAAAAAAAAAGCUUUUUCAAAAUUUAUCUAAAACAUUAAUAUAAAACACUACUACUUAAGUAUAUACUUUGUCCCACUAAAUUGUAUAUAUUACUUUUUAACACGUAUUUAAGAUUUUUCUAAAGUAUAACUUCAUAUCAAUUUUUUUUCGAAUAAAAAUUUGAUUUUAAAACCUUUAUUAACAAAAAAUUAAAAAUAUAUUAUAAAAUUAUAUUUUAUAAAAAACCUUAAAAUAUAUACAAAUAAUGAACAUAUACAUCCUAUGGAAUAGGGUUCGGGUACUUCUAUUUUUAAUUAGUACUCUAAAUAAACGUAUAAUGUUGCAAGCAAAGAACUUUAGCCAGUUGCCCUUGACAUGUAAUCUGUUUUGAAUACAAGGUUUGCAUCCAAAGAUUUAAUGAAUUCAUAAUAAUUUUAGUAAAUUCUACAUGAUCUUCAUUUUGUACGGACAAAUAUUAGACCAAAUAUGGAAUCCUUAAAUUUGAACAUAAUUUGUAAUAGAUAAUUUGUGAGGGUGAACCACAUUAUACUUAGAAUUUAGACCAUAUAUUAGAUAUAAAUAGGAUGUAUGGUUAAGAUUAUCACUGAUAUCAUGUUAUAUAUUUAUGUGACAUUUAUAUGUAUGCAUGUCUAAUAAAUGAGAGUUAAUAAUCAGAUUUAUUACUUUCCAUGAUUAAUACAAAUCUCAAUUAAAUUUUAUGUAUAUAAAUCAGUAUUACAAAAUUAAAUAUAUCAAAUAUUUUGUUUUCAUACAUGGAAAUACAUAACAAAUUUGCGUGAUUUAAUUCUAUACGUGUAAAUGUAUAACAAAUUUACGUGAUACUGUUGCAGCACUUGUACUAAUAUAAAAGAUGGUGUUAUAAUGCAAUAUUUUUCUAAAAAGAUGGAAAUACUGCUAUAAUACGUCAAAUAUCAUACUUAUAUUAUUUAAUAAUUAUACCGAUACUAUUGCAAUACAUAUUCUUUUUGAAAAAAAUAAAAGUACUGCUAUAGUACAUCAAAUACUAAUAUAAAAGAUGGCGUUAUAAUGCAAUAUUUUUCUAAAAAAAAUAGAAAUACUGCAAUAGUACGUCAAAUAUCAUACUUAUAUUAUUUAAUAAUUAUACCGAUACUAUUGGAACACGUAUUUUUUUAUAAAAAAAUAAAGGUACUGCUAUAGUACAUCAAAUAUCAAACUUAUUUAUAUGAUAAUUAUACCGAUACUAUCGCAUUACAUUAAAAAUAUAAUAUCAAUACACCAGCCAUUUAAUUAUAGAAGGUAAAUUUAAAUUUUGCCACAUAUAAUUAUUGAAGUUAAUGCAUGCAUUAAUUACCUACGUCCUACAAUCAUAUAUAAAAGACAAAAGUACAUAGCCAAUUUUAAAUGCAUUAUUUGAUCUUAGCCAUUAGUUUAAUCGGAAUCUAAUGACUUUAUAUGAGUUCUAAGUUCUAACUUUAAAACUGGUCUCACCCUAAUUUUUGUGAUAUCCAUUAUAAUAUUUAUCGCGUAUAGAAUAGAAUAAAAAAAUUAUUACAAAAAAAUCUGAGCCCCAAACACUCUUUGAAAAAGCUGAGAGAAGAGGAUUUAAAAUACUUCUAGUAUUAGGCUUUUUCUUUAUAGUUUAAUAAGAUUUUGAUUACUAAAGACAGGCAUCAGCCGCUAAAUAGUGAUCAACAAUCAAAAUUAACCUAAACAUGUAAUCUAACAGCAAUCAACAUUAGCAGUACACUAUUAGCAUAUCAUAAUAUAAGCAACCAAUCCAGCCUGCCACAGCAAAGAUUAAGAUUUAGAAGCUUGCAUUCAGUACUUAAAACAUAGAUAGCCAUAUAAAAGAUUAGUAAACCAUUCAGUAAUAUAGAUGGCCAUAUACAGUACUAGUAGCUAGUAGAUGCAUCUCAUGCGGACAUCAGGUUCUCCCUCGUAGAUAUGAAGCACAAAACUAACAUAUAUUGUGGUAACUGCUUCCGCAAUCACACUUCACUUGCAAUGAUAAUGGUCAACAUACGGUAUUCUGCAAAAGAUUAGAAAGAUAUCAGGCAAAAGCUUCGAGCAAUAUUUGAGCUAUAAUUAUGUGACUACAAUCACUAACUUAAGCCAAGUGGCUAGAAAAUCUAGCUACCAUGAUAUAACCAAAUUUGACAUUGAUUAAGCUUCACUCGCAAAGCCCCAUCUUCCAUCUUUUUCCUAUAUUCACAUAAGAGGCGAAAGUGGAACCUAGACAGUUGAUACUAGGAAGACAUGUUUUCACGACUAAUUAAUAAACACUUUGGGGUGAUAUGGAAAUAUAGUUAACCAUGUACUUAUGUUGAGUCGCCUAAGCUACGCGCCCUGCUUAAAUUUAUCUACUUGAGGACUAGUAUGAAAGAAUAUCAACAAGCUGCAUUUCAUGAAGGUAAAUUAUCAGAAUCACUAGCUAAUAUCGAUUGAACAGCCAAUGAGCCAAACAUGUUACUUUCUAGAGAACUAGAAAUAAUUUGAAAGAUACAAAUAUUACCUCGAGAUUGUUUCUAGUGGAGACAAUUCAGAUGCACGCCUGUUGCCCAUUUACUGCACUUGCUCAAAGCCAUCUAGUGAAACAAGCGUUUCUGUGUAUUUGAGAGAAGCACGCACAUUUUCUUCUUCAUGUUUAUAAACUUUGGUUUCUUUCUUCUCAUAGUCAUACAACACAUAAUACAGGAAGACAAUGCUGUCCAAUAACUUAUGUCCAAAGAACUGUGCCGCACCCAAAUACUUAGUUAACCGCAUUUCAGUCUCAGGAUGAGCCUCAAUGCUAAAUUUUUUAGUCCAAGACAACUCUCCAGAAACAUUAUCUAACGUCCAUAGAUCUAAUAUUUCAAUUCCAGACUGAAAGACCAUAGCGACAGAACCAUGGAAAUCCAAAACUUCCGACCCCAUCUGUGUAGAGCUAGGGAUAGGAACUAGUCCAAAAAUCUCAUUGUGCAAAUCAAAUGAGAUUAAGUGAUCCUCAU